CUUUUCCUUCCUGACAGUGAUCUGCAGUUAAACUAGAGAAUGAAUUGGAUUGGAAAGGACCUCAAAGACCAUCUAGUUCCAGCUCCCCAGAGGUAGGCAGCACUGCUUGCCAACCACUGAAUCCAGGCACAUCUAUGGACACCUAGAGCAUCCAGUGUCAAGGUGCCUCUUCCUGUGCUUGAAGCUGCUGUUUUUAUGUGGUGCUUAAAGGCCUUCCCCACAGUUUGAAAAACUGCCAUACUGCAAAGCAAUGAAGACAGUAGGAAGUAUCCUUAAAUUGCCUUUUAUGUGACUGAAGCAUUUAUAUAUGAUCAGUCUGUGGUUUGAAUUGGGAUUUUACAUCUCCUCAGCAGCUCUUUCACAGCUCGUAGAGCAACCUAUCGACAUUA